CGAUAUCGACGUAGUUUGAUCCUGGCUCAGAAUCAACGCUGGCGGCGUGCCUCAGACAUGCAAGUCGAACGAUUAAAGCUCUCUUCGGAGAGUGUAUAGAGUGGCGCACGGGUGAGUAACACGUAAGUAAUCUACCCUCGAGUGGGGAAUAACAACCGGAAACGGUUGCUAAUACCGCAUAAUGCAGCGGCACCGCAAGGUGACAGUUGUUAAAGAUUUAUCGCUUGAGGAGGAGCUUGCGGCAGAUUAGCUAGUUGGUAGGGUAACGGCUUACCAAGGCUACGAUCUGUAACCGGUCUAAGAGGACGGUCGGUCACACUGACACUGAAUAACGGGUCAGACUCCUACGGGAGGCAGCAGUCGGGAAUUUUGGGCAAUGGGCGAAAGCCUGACCCAGCAACGCCGCGUGAAGGAUGAAGUAUUUCGGUAUGUAAACUUCGAAAGAAUAGGAAGAAUUAAUGACGGUACUAUUUAUAAGGUCCGGCUAACUACGUG
rnacentral:rRNA from 1 species